rnacentral:rRNA from 1 species
CCUACGGGGGGCAGCAGUGGGGAAUAUUGCACAAUGGGGGAAACCCUGAUGCAGCGACGCCGCGUGAGUGAAGAAGUAUUUCGGUACGUAAAGCUCUAUCAGCAGGGAAGAAAAUGACGGUACCUGACUAAGAAGCCCCGGCUAACUACGUGCCAGCAGCCGCGGUAAUACGUAGGGGGCAAGCGUUAUCCGGAUUUACUGGGUGUAAAGGGAGCGUAGACGGCAGCGCAAGUCUGGAGUGAAAUCCCAUGGCUUAACCAUGGAACUGCUUUGGAAACUGUGCAGCUAGAGUGCAGGAGAGGUAAGCGGAAUUCCUAGUGUAGCGGUGAAAUGCGUAGAUAUUAGGAGGAACACCAGUGGCGAAGGCGGCUUACUGGACUGUAACUGACGUUGAGGCUCGAAAGCGUGGGGAGCAAACAGGAUUAGAUACACCGGUAGUC